rnacentral:tRNA from 1 species
GGUCCCAUCGUCUAGCGGCCCAGGACACUGGCCUCUCACGCCAGAGACACGGGUUCGAUUCCCGUUGGGACUACCA